GCCGGGUGUGGUGGUGCAUGCCUGUAAUCCCAGCUACUCGGGAGGCUGAGGCAGGAGAAUCACUUGAGCCCGGGAGAUGAAGUUUGCAGUGAGCCAAGGUCAUGCCACUGCACUCCAGCCUGGGCGACAGAGCGAGACUCUGUCUCAA
ensembl:misc_RNA Metazoa_SRP Metazoan signal recognition particle RNA